AGUGAACGCUGGCGGUAGGCCUAACACAUGCAAGUCGAACGGCAGCACAGUAAGAGCUUGCUCUUACGGGUGGCGAGUGGCGGACGGGUGAGGAAUACAUCGGAAUCUACUUUUUCGUGGGGGAUAACGUAGGGAAACUUACGCUAAUACCGCAUACGAUCUACGGGUGAAAGCAGAGGAUCUUCAGACCUUUCGCGAUUGAAUGAGCCGAUGUCGCAUUAGCUAGUUGGCGGGGUAAAGGCCCACCAAGGCAACGAUCCGUAGCUGACCUGAGAGGAUGAUCAGCCACACUGGAACUGAGACACGGUCCAGACUCCUACGGGAGGCAGCAGUGGGGAAUAUUGCACAAUGGGCGCAAGCCUGAUCCAGCCAUGCCGCGUGGGUGAAGAAGGCCUUCGGGUUGUAAAGCCCUUUUGUUGGGAAAGAAAAGCAGCAGGUUAAUACCCCGCUGUUCUGACGGUACCCAAAGAAUAAGCACCGGCUAACUUCGUG
rnacentral:rRNA from 1 species